rnacentral:sRNA from 1 species
CGUCUGUCACCUCUUCACCUCACUCAUUUUCAGCUUCUUCAUUACUUUUUCAUGUUUCUCCACUGUAGAAGGAAAUCAUAAUGUAAGAUUGUAGAUGGAAACCAUAAAGCAAGAUUGAAGACUUUUUUCAUUUUAGUAACCAAGAAGAGGUUGAAAUGUUUUCAGAGAGAGAAGGUGGAGAACAUUUCACGGAGCACCGAACCUUCGAACCUUCGAGCCAGCCACCACAACUCUCGUCGGAUAGCCGCCGCCCGUAGACGUUGUCGUUGUCGUUUUCGCUCCAUCCAGUGGCGCCGGUGUCCGUCGUCUUCCACCCAGCCAGGCAGUUCGGAUUGCGGGUCGCCGCAGCUCCGGCGUCAGCAGACGAACCGAAGACGACAUCGUCUUCCCUCCUGCCCAGCCAACCAAGGGCGUGUUUUGAGUAUCGAUUCCUCCCACCCGCUUCCUUCCCUGUGCCGGACCCUUGCGGUGGCCGCCGGAGCAUCGCCGGAGUGUCGUCGAAGUGUCGCCGGACCCUUUCAAGGUAUGGUUUAGUGUGGGUUGAAGUUGUGUAAAAGAUUUAGUGCCACCGGUGGAACUAUUCGCGAACCCUAUUCACGAUCCAACUUCAGAACAUGAUAUCUUUGCAAGCUCUUUUCUUGCUUAUUCAAUGUUUGCUUUGAGACUAGAAAUGAACAAAUUAUCUGAGGAUGUGUCUUUGUUUGUAAAUUGCCUUAGUCUUUCUUUGAUAUUUGAUUGUGGAGUAAUUGUUUUUAAAAUUAUGGAAUUGUGAGAUGACAUCGAGAAAUACGAAGGCAACACAAUGCUAGUUACACAACAGUUAGGAAGAAACAUGUUUGUGAUUGGAUUUUGGAUGUGGACAAUGUGCGGAGGGCUGAAGUGUUGCCAGAUUUAGGCAUUGUGUAGAUGUUGUUGAAUAGGGAUUUUUGUAAUGUUAUUGAUGAUUUGUUUAUAACUUUUUCAAUAUGUAUUGAUGAUGACUGAAUGUACAUAUUUGUUGUUAAAAGUGUUCAAAGAAAAGUAGUGAUUACAUUUAUUGUUAAUGAAAUU